rnacentral:tRNA from 1 species
GCGCCAGUAGCUCAGUAGGAUAGAGCAACUGCCUUCUAAGCAGUAGGUCAGGGGUUCGAAUCCCUUCUGGCGUGCCA